CCUACGGGUGGCAGCAGUGAGGAAUAUUGCGCAAUGGACGAAAGUCUGACCCAGCCAAGUCGCGUGAAGGAUGACUGCCCUAUGGUUUGUAAACUUCUUUUGUAUGGGAAUACAACAGGGUAUCCAUACCCUCUUGUAUGUACCAUAUGAAUAAGGAUCGGCUAACUCCGUGCCAGCAGCCGCGGUAAUACGGAGGGUCCGAGCGUUAUCCGGAUUUAUUGGGUUUAAAGGGUGCGUAGGUGGAUCGUUAAGUCAGGUUUGAAAGUCGGCGGCUCAACCGUAAAAUUGCAGUGUAAACUGGCAGUCUUGAGUACAGUAGAGGUGAGCGGAAUUCGUGGUGUAGCGGUGAAAUGCUUAGAUAUCACGAAGAACUCCGAUUGCGAAGGCAGCUUACUGGACCGUAACUGACACUGAGGAUCGAAAGUGUGGGUAUCAAACAGGAUUAGAUACCCCAGUAGUC
rnacentral:rRNA from 1 species